UGGCGGACGGGUGAGUAACGCGUGGGCAACCUGCCCUGUACUGGGGGAUAACACCUGGAAACAGGUGCUAAUACCGCAUAAGCGCGCAGUGCCGCAUGGCACGGCGCGGAAAACCCCGGUGGUACAGGAUGGGCCCGCGUCUGAUUAGCUGGUUGGCAGGGUAACGGCCUACCAAGGCGACGAUCAGUAGCCGGCCUGAGAGGGUGGACGGCCACACUGGGACUGAGACACGGCCCAGACUCCUACGGAAGGCAGCAG
rnacentral:rRNA from 1 species